rnacentral:rRNA from 1 species
AUUGAACGCUGGCGGCAUGCCUUACACAUGCAAGUCGAACGGCAGCACGGGAGCAAUCCUGGUGGCGAGUGGCGAACGGGUGAGUAAUAUAUCGAAACGUGCCCAGUCGUGGGGGAUAACGCAGCGAAAGCUGUGCUAAUACCGCAUACGAUCUAAGGAUGAAAGCGGGGGAUCGCAAGACCUCGCGCGAUUGGAGCGGCCGAUAUCAGAUUAGCUAGUUGGUGGGGUAAAGGCCCACCAAGGCGACGAUCUGUAGCUGGUCUGAGAGGACGACCAGCCACACUGGAACGGGGACACGGUCCGGACUCCUACGGGAGGCAGCAGCGGGGAAUUUUGGACAAUGGGCGCAAGCCUGAUCCAGCAAUGCCGCGUGCAGGAUGAAGGCCUUCGGGUUGUAAACUGCUUUUGUACGGAACGAAACGGCCCUUUCUAAUACAGGGGGCUAAUGACGGCACCGUAAGAAUAAGCACCGGCUAACUACGUGCCAGCCGCCGCGGUAA